GAAGAAGAAGGUGAGGAAGAGGAAGAGGAGGAGGACUUUAGAAGAGUCACAGGGAAUGGGAGCAUUUUGAAAAGAUAAUGUGAAUUUUGGAUGAGCUUUGGUAUGUAGUAGUUCCUUUUGCAAGGAGCCACCCAUUUCUCCUAUCCAGAUUGGAAGUCAUUCAGAGGAUUGUUUGGGAAUUGACUAGUGAUUCUAGAAAAAAAAAUUUUUUUUUUCCUUUCUAUGUUGACCAGGCUGGCCUUGAACUCAGAUUAUACCUACUUCUGCCCCUUGAGUGCUGGGAUUAAAGGCUAAAUCAUUAUGCCUGGCUACUAGGUACUUUUAUACAUCUUUUUUUUUUCAUAUAAGAUAAGAAAAUGAUGACAAAAUCAACAGAUAAGAAUUUGGAAAUCAUUGUUACCAAUGGCUAUAAAGAUAGCUUUGCUCAGGACAGUGACAUUCAUACUGAUUCUUCCCGGAGUGCCAGACGAAGUGAAGACAAAAAGCCUACAGACCAGAGCUCUCAGCAGACAGGAAACACUGUCCUCUGCGUUCACCAAGGUAUUGUCCUCAAGGGACUCUCUCUAAUCUAAUAGUUCUAGGGUGCUUAGGAAUCAUUUAGGACAUAAAUAU
rnacentral:lncRNA from 1 species